rnacentral:rRNA from 1 species
CCUACGGGAGGCAGCAGUGGGGAAUUUUGGACAAUGGGCGCAAGCCUGAUCCAGCAAUGCCGCGUGAGUGAAGAAGGCCUUCGGGUUGUAAAGCUCUUUUGUCAGGGAAGAAACGGUGGGAGCUAAUAUCUCCUACUAAUGACGGUACCUGAAGAAUAAGCACCGGCUAACUACGUGCCAGCAGCCGCGGUAAUACGUAGGGUGCAAGCGUUAAUCGGAAUUACUGGGCGUAAAGCGUGCGCAGGCGGUUUUGUAAGUCUGUCGUGAAAGCCCCGGGCUCAACCUGGGAAUUGCGAUGGAGACUGCAAGGCUUGAAUCUGGCAGAGGGGGGUAGAAUUCCACGUGUAGCAGUGAAAUGCGUAGAGAUGUGGAGGAACACCGAUGGCGAAGGCAGCCCCCUGGGUCAAGAUUGACGCUCAUGCACGAAAGCGUGGGGAGCAAACAGGAUUAGAUACCCUGGUAGUCCACGCCCUAAACGAUGUCUACUAGUUGUCGGGUUUUAAUAACUUGGUAACGCAGCUAACGCGUGAAGUAGACCGCCUGGGGAAUCGGUCGCAAGNUUAAAACUUAAGGAAUUGACGGNNGAGAGNGCGAGACGACGACGAGGAGGAGG